rnacentral:sRNA from 1 species
UCUAUACUGAAAUUGCUGUGAAAAAACAGCGGUAUUUGGUGAAUGUGCUACAACGUCCUGCCGAAGUGCUUUUCGUUGCUCUUUCCUCAGUACUCUCUGGAUUUCUCAGCAUUAGUUCCAAUCAGGAAUAUGAAGGUCCCGUGAGGGCAAAUUUCAGAAAGACAGGAAAGAUCAAUGUCCGAUACAAAAACCGGCCACGUGAAGUGGUUCAACGAGUCCAAAGGCUUUGGUUUCAUUGCUCAGGACGGCGGCAGUGACGUAUUUGUUCACUACAGUGCAAUCAAUUCUAGCGGCUUCCGUACCCUGACCGAAGGUCAGCAGGUACAGUUCACCGUGACUCAGGGCCCGAAAGGCCCCCAGGCGGAAAAUGUAACCCCGGUCUGAGGUUAUCACUUCCGUCCUUUGCCCCUCACGGGCAUGGGAAAAUUAAUAAGCCGGCACUCGUGCCGGCUUAUUUCA